UACUGAAGCAAGAACACCUGUAAUUUUGAAACUUGCUUGGUUUGAGACAGGAGCGGAACUUCUGCUGAUGCUGAAAUUAAAAAAGGUCUUGUGUUGUAUAUGAGGUUCCGUGACAUACCAGUUGAGUCAAGCCAUACGCAGAUUAACCGGAGUGAAUAGAAAGAACAGAGUCUUCAAAUUCUCAUCCUGAUGCCUUACCAGAGCCUAUGACAGCGUACCGGAGAGUAGAGAUAAGCAAGACAGGAAAUGAAGCGUUGAUUGGAUACGCCCAUCCUCUUCUUGCAUAGAAAAAUGCAGGCUAAAACCAGGCAACAUAGUCCACAAAGGCGGCG
rnacentral:lncRNA from 1 species